GUUCCCGUUUGGUGAAGCACAAAUCCAGAAGUUUACGAAUGAAAACUAGAGCUAAAACCUUCAAAGCAAAAAUGGAAAUCAUGCAGAGUUCAGGAAGACACAGUAAAUAUAACUUGCCUGGAUGCCUUUUAGUGAGGAUGCCCCCAUGUAAAGAAAUACACCAUACAAUACUGGCAUUGGAAUAAACUGUCAAGAAAACCAUAAUUUAAAUUAAUGCAGAUCAAGCAACAUAAGAGUAUAAACUUCUACCUCUGCCAGUAGAUUAUUCUACAAAGCUAAAAUGGAACUCACAGACUGAAGAAGGGCCAUCAAAAGGGCACGUGUUUUAGGAAAAAAAGCUAUGAACAUAUCCAUGAAAUGGAAAAACUUAGACCAUCAGAGCAUCUCCAGGUACAUCUGGAAAAGACUCCAACCUGAAACUUGGGAGAGCCACUGCCAGUCAGUGCAGGCAAGACUGAGCUAGAUGGACCAAUAGUUUGACUCGGUAAAAGGCAGCUUCCUAUAUUCAGAAAAUACACUGUGAGAGGCAGCAAUUAAGUGGAGAACCAUGGGAAGCAGAUGUAUUCUUAAAGGAUGAAAUUGAUACUGUUCAGCCUUUGUAACCAAAAGUAAAUUAUUUGAAUCUAAUAUGUAAAAGCCUUUUCCCAGGUCGAUCUGACUUUUCCCCAUUUAAGGCUUGCUAUAGGAUUGCAGCAAGCUACCCUGAUAGAAAUGUAUCUAUUUUUCAUGUGUGUAUGAUUCCUAUUUGUACUGUAGGUCAUCAAUCCAGGUAUC